ACAAUAAAAUUAUUAUUUAAUAUUUUAAAUUAAUUUUAUAAAAAAAAAUAAUUUAAAAUAUUUUUUUAUUUUAUUAAAAUUAAAAAUAAAUAAAUUUUUAUUAUAUUUAUUUAAAAAUAAAAUAAUAAUUUUAAUUUUUAAAUUUAAAAAUUAAAAUUAUUAUUUUAUUAAUAGAAAGUAUUAUUUAUUGUAUCUUGUGUAUCAGAGUAAUUUAAAUUUAAUAAAUUUUUUAUUUUGUUUUCGAAAUAAAAAGAUCUAAAAAUAAUUUAUUUUAUUUUAUUAUUUUAAUAAUAUUAUUAAUUAUUUUUUAGUAAUAAAAUGUUUUUCAAUUUUUAUGAUUUUUAAUUUUUUUUGAAAUGAAUUUAAUUUAUAAUUUUUAUUAUGAAAUUUUUUUAUUUUUAUAAAUUUUAUUUUUAAAAAUUUUAUAAAAUUAGGGAUAAUCUUAAUUUUAUAAAUUUAAAAAUAAAAAUUUUUAUUUUUAAAUUUUUUAAUUUUUUAAGUAAAUUUAAUUUUUAAAUUUUUUAUAAAUUAAUUUAAUUUAUUAUAUUUUUUAUUAUUAUUUUAAUAUUUUAAAAAAAUAUAAAUUUUAUUUAUAAAAAUUUAAUAAUAAUGAAUUGAUUAGUAAUUAAAUUUUUAUUUAAAUUUAAGAAUUUGGCAAAUAAAAUUUAUUCAAUUGUUUAUCAAAAACAUAAUUUUUAAAUUUUUUAUUAAAAAUUUAAUCUGCCAAUUGAAAAAUUUUUUAAAAGGCCGCAGUAUUUUGACUGUGCUAAGGUAGCAUAAUCAUUAGAUUUUUAAUUUAAAUCUUGAAUGAAUGGUAAAAUGAAAUAAAAUCUUUUUUAAUUUAAAAAUUGAAUUUUAUUUUUUAGUUAAAAAGCUAAAAUUUUUUAAAGGGACGAGAAGACCCUAUAGAAUUUUAUAUUAAUUAAAUUAUAAAUUAAUUUAAAAUUUAAUUUUAUAAUAUUAAAAAUAUUAUGUUGGGGUGAUAAAUAAAUUUUUAUAACUUUUUAUAUUUUAUCAUUAAUAAAUGUUUAAUUGAUCUUUUUUUAUUGAUUAAUAAAUAAAAUUACCUUAGGGAUAACAGCAUAAUUUUAUUAAGAAGUUCUUAUUUUUAAUAUUAUUUAUGACCUCGAUGUUGAAUUAAAUUAAUUAAUUAUAUGAAGAAAUAUAAUUAAUAAGUCUGUUCGACUAUUAAUAAUUUACAUGAUUUGAGUUCAAACCGGUGUAAGCCAGGUUGGUUUCUAUCUUUUAAAAUUAAAUUAAUAUUUAGUACGAAAGGAUUAAUAUUUUUAUAAAUUUAUAUUUUUUUAAAAAAUAUUAUAAUUAAAUUGCAAAUUUAAUUUAUUAAAUAUAUUUUAAUAAAAAAUUUAUU
rnacentral:rRNA from 1 species